rnacentral:rRNA from 1 species
GCAGGCUUAACACAUGCAAGUCGAACGAUAUAGUGGCAGACGGGUGAGUAACGCGUGGAAACGUGCCUUUCACUACGGAAUAGCUUUUGGAAACGAAAGGUAAUACCGUAUACGCCCUCCGGGGGAAAGAUUUAUCGGUGAAAGAUCGGUCCGCGUUAGAUUAGCUAGUUGGUGAGGUAACGGCUCACCAAGGCUACGAUCUAUAGCUGGUCUGAGAGGAUGAUCAGCCACACUGGAACUGAGACACGGUCCAGACUCCUACGGGAGGCAGCAGUGGGGAAUAUUGCACAAUGGGCGCAAGCCUGAUGCAGCCAUGCCGCGUGAAUGAUGAAGGCCUUAGGGUUGUAAAAUUCUUUCGCCAGGGAUGAUAAUGACAGUACCUGGUAAAGAAGCCCCGGCUAACUUCGUGCCAGCAGCCGCGGUAAUACGAAGGGGGCUAGCGUUGUUCGGAAUUACUGGGCGUAAAGCGCACGUAGGCGGACUUUUAAGUCAGAUGUGAAAUCCCGAGGCUCAACCUCGGAACUGCAUUUGAAACUGGGAGUCUAGAGAUCAGGAGAGGUUAGCGGAAUACCGAGUGUAGGGGUGAAAUUCGUAGAUAUUCGGUGGAACACCAGUGGCGAAGGCGGCUAACUGGACUGAUACUGACGCUGAGGUGCGAAAGUGUGGGGAGCAAACAGGAUUAGAUACCCUGGUAGUCCACACCGUAAACGAUGAGUGCUAGUUGUCUGCAGGCAUGCCUGUAGGUGACGCAGCUAACGCAUUAAGCACUCCGCCUGGGGAGUACGGCCGCAAGGUUAAAACUCAAAGAAAUUGACGGGGGCCCGCACAAGCGGUGGAGCAUGUGGUUUAAUUCGAAGCAACGCGCAGAACCUUACCUACGCUUGACAUGCCCGGACGAUUUCCAGAGAUGGAUCUCUCCCUUCGGGGCCGGUGCACAGGUGCUGCAUGGCUGUCGU